rnacentral:siRNA from 1 species
UGCCAAUGGAUUUUUUUUCAUAAG